rnacentral:rRNA from 1 species
GACGAACGCUGGCGGCGUGCCUAAUACAUGCAAGUCGAACGCAGUGGGGACGGGUGAGUAACCCGUGGGUAACCUCCCAUCAGAGGGGAUAACACUUGGAAACAGGUGCUAAACCGAUACUGAUGGAUGGACCCGCGGUGCAUUAGCUAGUUGGUGAGGUAACGGUUCACCAAGGCCACGAUGCAUAGAAUACCUGACAGGGGAGUCGGCCACACUGGGAGUGAGACAGGGCCCAGACUUCUCCGGGAGGCAGCAGUAGGGAAUGUUCGGCAAGGGACGAAAGUCUGACCGAGCAACGCCGCGUGAGUGAAGAAGGUUUUCGGAUCGUAAAACUCUGUUGUGAGAGAAGCGGUAUCUAACCAGAAAGCCACGGCUAACUACGUGCCAGCAGCCGCGGUAAUAC